UAGUCUACCAUUCAACAAGUUACAAAAUGGGACUGACAUACAUGAGUCAUGAGUAUACAAUUUGUAGGCCUCCACAUGAGUAACUUUGAUGCUGCAGUAGCCUCACCUCAGUUGUUGUUUAGGUUAGAUCUAGGCCUAAUUGAUGAUUAGGAUAGAUCUUAGUGAUUGCAGUGUGAGUCUACAAUGUUGAUCUUCUAUCACAUGGAGGAGUUGGGCCACACCCUCCCUAAGCUAUAAUAGUUUUUUUUUUUACAGAGGAGGACCUGUUUCCCCAUUCAGAACAUCACAAUUGACAAGAGGAAGGAAACUGUCAACCCGAGACUGAAGAAGGUCUGGAUUUGGGAGACUUUCUUCCUUUCACUUUUUGCUGCUUCCCUGACCUUUCCUGAUUUUUAUUUGGAUUCUGCACAAUAAAGGGAAAGCUACCUUUAGCUCGGCAUCACCAUGAAGGAAGAUGAGGAAGUUAAGCUGCGUAUGUUGUCGAGGAGCCUUGAUGACAAAGGUGAGUCACCCCUGUCUCUGUAACUACUCGCUAGAUAAGGCCAUAAGUUACAAUAUAGUGGUAUGGAUUACUCUGUAAUUUUUGGCCUUUCAUUUCCUAAGGGUGUAAGCCAUGAAAUUUGAUUCCUGAGGUAGUUACAACCCUGCACUUUGUAGAUGAAAA